rnacentral:rRNA from 1 species
UGGGGAAUAUUGGACAAUGGGCGAAAGCCUGAUCCAGCCAUGCCGCGUGUGUGAAGAAGGUCUUCGGAUUGUAAAGCACUUUAAGUUGGGAGGAAGGGCAGUAAGCGAAUACCUUGCUGUUUUGACGUUACCGACAGAAUAAGCACCGGCUAACUCUGUGCCAGCAGCCGCGGUAAUACAGAGGGUGCAAGCGUUAAUCGGAAUUACUGGGCGUAAAGCGCGCGUAGGUGGUUCGUUAAGUUGAAUGUGAAAGCCCCGGGCUCAACCUGGGAACUGCAUCCAAAACUGGCGAGCAGAGUAGGGCAGAGGGUGGUGGAAUUUCCUGUGUAGCGGUGAAAUGCGUAGAUAUAGGAAGGAACACCAGUGGCGAAGGCGACCACCUGGGCUCAUACUGACACUGAGGUGCGAAAGCGUGGGGAGCAAACAGG